CAGGAGGUGUAGACAGUGUGUGUGGAUGCAGGCAGGAGGUGUAGACAGUGUGUGUGGAUGCAGGCAGGAGGUGUAGACUGUGUGUGUGGAUGCAGGCAGGAGGUGUAGACAGUGUGUGUGUGUGGAUGCAGGCAGGAGGUGUAGACUGUGUGGAUGCAGGCAGGAGGUGUAGACAGUGUGUGUGGAUGCAGGCAGGAGGUGUAGACAGUGUGUGUGGAUGCAGGCAGGAGGUGUAGACAGUGUGUGUGUGUGUGUGGAUGCAGGCAGGAGGUGUAGACAGUGUGUGUGGAUGCAGGCAGGAGGUGUAGACAGUGUGUGUGGAUGCAGGCAGGAGGUGUAGA